UACAGAGGGGGCAAGCGUUGUUCGGAAUUACUGGGCGUAAAGGGCGCGUAGGCGUCUCGCUAAGUCGAACGUGAAAUCCCCGAGCUCAACUCGGGAACUGCGUCCGAUACUGGUGGGCUUGAAUCCGGGAGAGGGAUGCGGAAUUCCAGGUGUAGCGGUGAAAUGCGUAGAUAUCUGGAGGAACACCGGUGGCGAAGGCGGCAUCCUGGACCGGCAUUGACGCUGAGGCGCGAAAGCUAGGGGAGCAAACGGG
rnacentral:rRNA from 1 species